rnacentral:rRNA from 1 species
UACGUAGGGACCAAGCGUUGUUCGGAUUUACUGGGCGUAAAGGGCGCGUAGGCGGCAAUUCAAGUCAUCUGUGAAAUCUCCGGGCUUAACUCGGAACGGUCAGAUGAUACUGCUUUGCUAGAGUGCGGAAGGGGCAACCGGAAUUCUUGGUGUAGCGGUGAAAUGCGUAGAUAUCAAGAGGAACACCUGAGGUGAAGACGGGUUGCUGGGCUGACACUGACGCUGAGGCGCGAAAGCGUGGGGAGCGAACAGG